CCACGGAGCUCGGAAUUUAAUUAACUGCCUUGGAUUGUUUUUAACUGAAGGGGUGUGGGGCAGGAUCGGCCUUGGGAAUGGAAAAAAAAAAAAGCGUUGCUUGGUGUGGUAAACAGGAGAGGUAACGCGUGUACUUGGUAACAUGUACCUAAGUAGUACGGGUAUCAGUUGCUCAGAAAUGAUACUGUGGCGUUACAGAGUGACAAUAAGGUCUCCAACAAGUCACUUUUGUUUUAUCUGAGCAGUGAAUGGGUAUCUGGGGCAAAGCCAAUUUGAUGAGCCUCAAGUACUGUGUUAAAACCUGCCUGGAGCCAGGAUAAGGGGUUAUUUAGGUAGCUAGCUACUGGGGAAAGGCGUUAGUUGACUUCCCAAAAAGUGUAAGAUUAUGGCCCCGUAAAGUCCCUGUAAGAUCGGUUGGGCUGAUGCUGGGGCUGAGAUUUAUCUUUUUGUCUCCUUAAAUUUUAUAGGCUAAUUCAACAUGCAUUUACUGAAAAGGGAGAGUCCUGUGGCCACAUUUUUCUCCAACUUAUCCUCGGCAGAGAAAUAUAAGCCAAAGUUUAUUUAAAUCAAGAAUGGGGAGCAUCCAGCCUGCAGGCCUUAGACAGCCUUCAAGAUAAUUUGUUUGGCCCUGACAAGGCAAUCACAGACUCACGUAAUACUCAAGCUGUCAGAUAUCAUGGCCCGUGAACUCAUUCUGAGACGAUGACUUCAGCUGGGCGUGAGUGCAGAUUAUGAUACCCAGCACAUAGUGGCCUCUCAAGCUAUUGGUGUGACCUUUUGCCUGCUGUUGAUGCUGGAGACAUUGGUACCAACUAAAGACAUCAGACUUUAAUUGUUCUUAAAAGCAGAAAUAAGGACAUUCACAAUAUCCAGUGUUACAGGGAGGAGAAAGCACUUGCAACCAUGAGGGUACUGAGAAAAGGCAAUGGACAAAUUUGUAUUUGUGGAACAAGGAAUCUUUCCGAUGAAGCUUACAGAGCCUUUUGCAGAAGUACAGCUAUGGAUUAAACCUGACGGGUGUGUGGGGAGCAAACCGGACUAGACUGAGUUACUGGAAUUAAGACUUAUUCUAUGCAUCUGCUCUCCCACAAUAUGGCGCUGGGAGAGAAGUAAACAGCUUCCGCACAGCUGCCUCCAGUUCAACCAAUAAACUGUAGGACUUGCUCCUGAUUGGAGGAGAGCAGCGUACUCGGCGUGUGGGCAGCCGAGUUAGGAUUGGCGGAGGAGGACUAUAAAGGAGGAGAGAGACGGCAUGCACCGGGAACAUCUAUAGGGAACAUCUAAGGGGAACACUUGUGCAGCCCCCGAGAGAGCCGGCCGGCGGUGUGCCGCUCCCCCGCGGAAGUGGGGAAUGUGGCAGGGGGAACCGCCCUUCCACGGAGGUGGAAGGGAUAGUAGCCAACCCGGGAAGAACCAGCAGCAAACCCGGGGAGGGCCGAGCAGACGAAAGAACAGCGCAGGGUCCUGUGUCGUUCCUCCACGAAGAGGGGGAGCGACACGGGUGGGAACAUGUGGUAUAUCUGUGUGAUGCACACACUUGGGUGCUCCCUUCCCUACACACACACACACACACACACACACAUUGCCAUCAGCAUGUCAGGUACGUGGAAUUUGAAUCUUUAAAAAAAUUCUUUAGAGACUGAUAAAAUGUUUACAUGACAAAACAGUGAAAAUUUGUGAAAUUUGACAAAUUACUCCUAAAUAUCCCUUUCUUUCUUAAUCUGUUCUUGAGAUGUCGCCCAAAAUUCUGAGCUGGACUUAGUGAUAUAUCUUCUACUCAUGUCAAGUAUUUUGUUAACAUCAGUAUGGAUUUUGCUCAUGUAAAAAGCCCUGGAUCAGGGCCCCAGACAUGUGAAGCAGACAAGAAGUAUUCUAAAGAUGCCAGAGAAUAAGAAGUGUCAAAUAAGUGUCCACUGUGAGAGCAAACAUCCCUGGCUGUCCAUUAGCUGCAAUAAACAGAGUGCAUUUGGCAAUGUAUCAUUUGACAUAGAUUUACAAAACAGUUUGCCAAAUCUUUUUUUUUUCUUUUCCAAAUGAGAUGUCAGUGAAUGAAAACAGAGGGGCUUGGUGGUUUCAUUAUUGGAUAAUUGUAUAAUAUUGUAUAAUAAAGUUGUGUCUCCUGAUACUCAAGGUUUGUAUAGUACACAAAGAUGGCAAUUUGGCAGGGGAGUCAAUACCUUUUUCACCAAAGUUUUAAUCACUGGCUUAGACAACCAGUUCUGUUUGUUAUAGCCCCAUUCUGGAGUAAAUAACCAUGGUCAACUUCCAGGUAUAUAUGAGUAAGCAUUUCUGAGGGGAAUUUAAUUCGACAUACUAUUUUUAAAAAAUCCUGUCUUUGGAAUUGCAUCUUGUAAAUGAAGGCAUCACAAACAUGAAUUCCACAUCUCUUGUUUGGCCUUUAAAAGAAACUUUAAAAUCAGUGUCCAUUUAUUCUUGUGCUCACAUUUAAUUUCAUUUGCAUGUGACUAAGUUUGUUUCUUUUUGGUGAAUAUAACUUGCUAGCAUCUUCUUCUCCUCCCCCCAACAAAGAACAGCAGCCUCUGAGGUGGGGCUGCCAGCUUCAGCAAGGAGCAUUGCAGGUAAAUUUGAUCUCUACACUUUUCAGGUUUCUCAGUUGUGAUCAGUGACAUUUGGCCUGAUGAAGGAAGCUCUGGGACCUGGACAAACACAAAGCAUGCUACUGUUCUGACAUGCAGAAUGCCUGGUGCUCUGUGUUAUCUUUCAGGGGCUGCAGUGAUCUGGAUAAAUAAGACCAAAUUGGGCUAACCACUGUUCUUGGCCGCACUCACGCAGCUGUUCUCAGAAGCUAAUAGGAGCUGUGUGUGUACAUCCAAGGACAGAAUUUGGCCCUUUUUGUCUUUGCAGUUUUUUUAGUUGAGAUGAUUAUUCCUGAGUGACUGUUUUAUAAGCAAUGUUUUGGCCAGUUUAAAUCUUGUUUCACUCUAUUCCUCAUAGUCAAGACAUUUAUGAAUAUGGAAACGUGUAGCACAAGUCUUCAGUUCCCAGAAAAAUAAAAAUCUCCCCAAUAAAACCUGUGAGUAUUGCAGAUGAACUGGAAAAGAGAUAAAGCAAGUCAUUUAAACAGUGGUUAAAAAAAAUAGAAGCAACACCAAGAAGAAGUAUUAACAUUCAUUGUUGGUAAUACUACAAUACAAUUUUUUUUAAUUUUAAAUUUAUUUUACUUAUUUGGGGAGGUGUAGGAGGAGAGCAAGAGAGAGAGAAAGAGAGAGAGAUUGGAAGA